rnacentral:rRNA from 1 species
GCCUAACACAUGCAAGUCAACUUGACUGAAGGAGCAAUCUGACAGUAGAGUGGCGCAAGGGUGCGUAACGCGUAAGUAACUUGCCCAAGGUAAGGAAUAACGUCGAGAAAUCGGCGCUAAUACCUCAUAAUGCAGCGGAUCCGCAUGGAUAUGUUGUUAAAGGUUUACCGCCUUGGGAUAGGCUUGCGUCUGAUUAGCUAGUUGGUGUGGUAACGGCACACCAAGGCUACGAUCAGUAACUGGUCUGAGAGGAUGAUCAGUCACACUGGAACUGAGACACGGUCCAGACUCCUACGGGAGGCAGCAGUGAGGAAUAUUGGGCAAUGCUCGAAAGAGUGACCCAGCAACGCCGCGUGGAGGAUGAAGGUAUUCUAUAUCGUAAACUCCUGUGAGAGCAGACGAAAGACAGAUUAUUAAUCUGGAUGACUGUAUGCUCAGAGGAAGCCCCGGCUAACUACGUG